CGGCGGGCUUACACGUGCAAGUCGAGGGGGCAACAUGAGGUCUAUGUUUUUAGAUUUCGAUGGCGACCGGCGAACGGGUGCGUAACACGUACGUAACUUACCUUUUGCUAGAAAAUAGCCUGAGGAAACUUGGAUUAAUAUUCUAUAACAUAGUAUUAUUGCAUGAUAAUAUUAUUAAAGCAGAUAUGCGGCAAAAGAUAGGCGUGCGUCUGAUUAGUUAGUUGGUAGGGUAAAAGUCUACAAAGACAAUGAUCGGUAGGGGGCCUGAGAGGGUGAUCCCCCACACUGGUACUGAGAUACGGACCAGACUCCUACGGGAGGCAGCAGUGAGGAAUAUUGGUCAAUGGAGGAAACUCUGAACCAGCCACGCCGCGUGCAGGAAGAAGGCCCUAUGGGUUGUAAACUGCUUUUGUAUAGGAAUAAAAAUUCUUACGAGAUAAGAAUCAUGAAGGUACUAUACGAAUAAGUGUCGGCAAACUCCGUGCCAGACAGCCGCGGUAAUACGGAGGACACAAGCGUUAUCCGGAUUUAUUGGGUUUAAAGGGUGCGUAGGCGGUUUAUUAAGUCAGUCAGUUGAAAUGUUGCAGCUUAACUGUUAAAACAUUGGGCUUAUUUGAUACUUGAUUAAGCUUGGAGUGAGAUUGGAAGUAAGACUGGAAAUGUGUGGGUGGUAGCCGGGGAAAAUGCUUAAUAUCUCCACA
rnacentral:rRNA from 1 species